UACUCUAUAGCUCAGUUGGUAGAGCAUGAGACUCUCCAUCUCAGGGUUGUGGGUUCAAGCCCCAUGUUGGGCAA